rnacentral:rRNA from 1 species
GACGAACGCUGGCGGCGUGCCUAAUACAUACAAGUUGAGCGAUGAAGAUUGGUGCUUGCUCCAAUUUGAAGAGCAGCGAACGGGUGAGUAACGCGUGGGGAAUCUGCCUUUGAGCGGGGGACAACAUUUGGAAACGAAUGCUAAUACCGCAUAACAACUUUAAACAUAAGUUUUAAGUUUGAAAGAUGCAAUUGCAUCACUCAAAGAUGAUACCGCGUUGUAUUAGCUAGUUGGUGAGGUAAAGGCUCACCAAGGCGAUGAUACAUAGCCGACCUGAGAGGUGGACGGCCACAAUGGGAACGAGAAACGGGCCAAACUUCUUAGGGGAGGCGCAGGAGGGGAACUUCGGGAAAGGAGGGAAGGCUGGCCGGGGAACGCCGCGGGGGGGGAUGAAGGUUUCGGGUCGUAAAACCCUGUUGGUAGGGAAGAACGAUGUUGGGAGUGGAAAGCGCAUCAAGUGACGGUAACUACCCAGAAAGCGACGGCUAACUACGUG